UACGGAGGAUGCAAGCGUUAUCCGGAAUGAUUGGGCGUAAAGCGUCCGCAGGUGGCUAUGUAAGUCUGCUGUUAAAGAGUGAGGCUCAACCUCGAGAGGUCGGUUGAAACCGUAAGGCUAGAGUCCGGAAGAGGAGAGUGGAAUUCCUGGUGUAGCGGUGAAAUGCGCAGAUAUCAGGAAGAACACCUAUGGCGAAGGCAGCUCUCUGGGACGGUACUGACGCUGAGACGCGAAAGCGUGGGGAGCGAACAGG
rnacentral:rRNA from 1 species